AGGUACUGAGCUUCUGCUGCAGAUUCACAGAAAGGUUCCCUAUCUAAGUGAUUUUUCUGUACCUGGGUAUCCGAAUUUUUCUUUUACAAGUUUUCUCACUAUAAGGCCAAACUGGUUGUAUACCAGAAAGCCCCAGUGAUAUAUGGGAUUUCCCACCAAGCACGU